rnacentral:rRNA from 1 species
UACGUAGGGGGCGAGCGUUGUCCGGAAUCAUUGGGCGUAAAGCGCGUGUAGGCGGUUCAGUAAGUCUGCUGUGAAAGUCCAGGGCUCAACCCUGGGAUGCCGGUGGAUACUGCUGAACUAGAGUGCGGAGGAGGCGAGUGGAAUUCCCGGUGUAGCGGUGAAAUGCGCAGAUAUCAGGAGGAACACCAAUUGCGAAGGCAGCUCGCUGGGACGUUACUGACGCUGAGACGCGAAAGCGUGGGGAGCAAACAGG